GGUGGAUCCCCAACCAAGUGGGGCCCACAAGUUUUUAAAACAAAAAAAAAAAAGAAAUAAAGAGAGAAAGUGGCUAAGCCACGGUGUGAGAGUGAGAGAGAGUUGGAUCUUUUCUUUUUUGAAAAGAAAGAAAGAAACAGAGAGCAUCGGCGUCGAGGAAGAAGAAAAUUGGGGAAAAGGGCAUGUCAACCUUGAUCACAUUGACUUGUGGACCCUGAAUACAUGAAGUCACUGGUUUUUAUCACAAUUCGCUGUCUUUCAAAGUACCUCGUAGUUUUCCAUGCUUCAGAAGCCAUUAAAGGCAUUGAACCAACGACCACUCCCAAUCAUGGAGAAAUCAUAAAUAAAACUUUACAUAUGUUGGUUGGUCUACUUUAUAUAUGUUAGUGUUUUAUAUUCAUAUCAUCUUUCUUACUAUAUAUUCUUUCCAAAUUGAGUAUUUUCCCAACAAGACAUAAGAGUAUAAUAAGACUAGGCCUACGUGUGGAGUAUGAUUAGUCUCAUAGAAUCUCUGCUGAUGAAAGUUGGCAGUAGUCACUAACUGUUGCAAACGGGUAUGGUAACUGCCUAAGGGUCAAAAGACUUGUAUACACUUCUAUAGCUUGCUUAGGAAGCCAUCUACCUUCCCCACAUUAUAUAUAUGAUAAGUGAUCUCUCUUUGUCUCACUAGAAUAACACAACAAUAACAGCAACAAAGCUGUAUUCUACUAGGUCAACUUGGUUAUAUGGAACAAAUGAGGCCAU